GGUAGGAAGGCAACAAAACACACUGCCAUGUGUGUACCUAUGCAAAUGUCUUGCAUGUUCUGCACAUGUACCCCAAAACCUAAAAUGCAAUUAAAAAAAAAGAAAUUACAAGCUUAGGUGGAAAGGAGAUAUAUUUAAUAUGAUACUUGCCAUACUGUUAAAUACCUCUGUUUAACUAACAGAAAUUGAUGGAGGCUUCAAGGCGUAUUUUCAGUCUCAUUUCCUAUGAUUUGUUGUUCAGUAGUGGUUAAAUUUUUCAGUUCUGCAAAGGCUGAUUUUCUGGACACUCUCCAUUUUCUUUCCUUUCUGCUUGCAAAUUAACGAAUUAUUUCUCAAGCUCAUUUAUUUCUUGUAAAUCCUUCCUAAAUGCAACAAGUAAUGGUCAACACAUUCUCCUAAUAUCCCUUUUCUGGUCACUUCCUCCAUUGCUACAAGCCUGGGAGGCACCUGGCCUGCCUUCCAAGACAGCUUUUACUAAAUUAUUUCUCACCAUAUAUGAUGGAUCCCCAACUGUUGAGCCACCAUUAAGUUUCCCCAUGCCAUGCUACUUGACCACCAAACCAUUGCCCCAUAUGUUAGAAUUUUGCUAUGGCAGUAUGCCACUUGAAGAUAUAUAUUUCUGUAUAACUAAAGAGAGUGAAUUUCUAUGACAAAAAAAGGCAACAAAACCCUAAGUCUAUCAACAAAUAUUGGAUAAAGAAAAUGGGGGCAUAUAUGUAUAUAUAUAUGUGUAUAAUGGAAUACUAUUCAGCCAUAAAAAGGAACUGUUAUAACAGUAAGAAAUUAUUUUAGGCAAAUAGAGAGGAAAAGGGGCCCUUGGGAAGGUUAUGUUUCUUUUAAAGCAGCUCCAGAAAUGUUUCUUGUCUAGCAGGAAAGCCCCAGCUCUUAGAGCUGGGAAGACAAGCUUUGAUAUGCAAAUGAAAGCCAUUAGAAACUGGGUCCACAGAAACAUGGUGAUUCCCGCUGUCUUGUUCUUGCCCUUGCCCCCACAUGUGCCUGGCAACAUGGGCACCCCCACAUAUUCCCGUGUAUGUAGAACAUCAUGGCACCCUGCAUUUGCAAAAGGCCGGGGUGGGAGGGGCCAUUUUCUCAGGACCUACGUGAAUGACACACCUGGUCAAACCAAUCCUCUGGGUCUUAUGGAAACCAGACACCAACUCCUCCAGAAUCCUGAUGUAAGCAGCUGCUUUUCCACCACACACAGGUUUUCUCUUUGUUUGAAUAUCUGCUCCCUCUGUCUCUGUGUGGGGGAGCUGUUUUCUUCCUUCUUUCUUUCUUGUCUCUUAAACUUUUUGCUCCUAAAAACCACUUCACAUGUGUCCGUGUUAAUGCUACUGGUAUGAGACCGAGAACCCCGGUGUUCCUGCAGUCAUCAGAGCCAUAUCAGAAUGGAGUCAUGUCUUUUGAAGCAACGUGGAUGGAACUGAAGGUCCUUAUCUUAAGUGAAACAAGCCAGACACAGAGUUAAAUAUUGCAUUUUCUCAUAAUUGGGUACUAAAAAAUGUAUACACAUAGACAUAGAGAGUGGGGUGAUACACAAUGGAGUCUCAGAAGGGUGAGAGGGGGAUGGAUGAUGAGAAAUUACCUAAUGAGUACAAUGUACAUGAUUUGGGUGAUAAAUUCCCUAAAAUCCUUGACCUGACCACUAUCCAAUCUGUGCAUAUAACAAAAUAGCAUUUGUGCUCCAUAAAUGUUUAUAAAUAAAAAACUCUUAAGUUAUUUGUUGUGUUAUAUACAAACACAAUAGAAUCUUUUUUCUUCCUUGGGUAAAUAAUCUAGGCUUGCUCCAGUUUAGCACGGAAUGGGCUAUGCUUGUCAUGGUCAUUCAGGAAUCCAGGCUGAUGGAAUCUCUGCAGUCUUCAACAUAGAGACUUCAAAAUGAUCCUUGAUCCUUGAUCCUUGGCGUUGUCGUCCAACAACAAAGGAGAUGGUGGUAUAAUAUGGCUAGUACUUUGGAAACUUUGAAGAGGCCUUAAGUGGUGCCAUUUGCAGCCCUUCAGUUCUAUUUGACACCUCCAAAGGAAAUGGGACAUGGAGGAAUCUGGAAACCGUCAUUCUUAGCAAACUGACACAAGAACGGAAAAUCAAACACCGCAUGUUCUCACAUAUAGGUGGGUGUUGAACAAUGAGAACACGUGGACACAGGGAGG